rnacentral:sRNA from 1 species
AGAGUACUUAACGGUAGACAGAGGCUGC